ACUUACAUAUCUAAGUUUAAGUGUUGGGUUCUUACUCCAAUAAUGUGUUAUAUGCACUGUAGGUU
rnacentral:tRNA from 1 species